CAUUCACGGAGAGUUUGAUCCUGGCUCAGGACGAACGCUGGCGGCGUGCUUAACACAUGCAAGUCGAACGAUGAACCACCUUCGGGUGGGGAUUAGUGGCGAACGGGUGAGUAACACGUGGGCAAUCUGCCCUGCACUCUGGGACAAGCCCUGGAAACGGGGUCUAAUACCGGAUACUGAACCACUUGGGCAUCCAGGCGGUUCGAAAGCUCCGGCGGUGCAGGAUGAGCCCGCGGCCUAUCAGCUUGUUGGUGAGGUAACGGCUCACCAAGGCGACGACGGGUAGCCGGCCUGAGAGGGCGA
rnacentral:rRNA from 1 species